GGGUUGUGAGGUUAAGCGACUAAGCGUACACGGUGGAUGCCCUGGCAGUCAGAGGCGAUGAAGGGCGUGCUAAUCUGCGAUAAGCGCCGGUAAGGUGAUAUGAACCGUUAUAACCGGCGAUACCCGAAUGGGGAAACCCAGUGUGAUUCGUCACACUAUCAUUAACUGAAUCCAUAGGUUAAUGAGGCGAACCGGGGGAACUGAAACAUCUAAGUACCCCGAGGAAAAGAAAUCAACCGAGAUUCCCCCAGUAGCGGCGAGCGAACGGGGAGGAGCCCAGAGCCUGAAUCAGCAUGUGUGUUAGUGGAAGCGUCUGGAAAGGCGCGCGAUACAGGGUGACAGCCCCGUACACAAAAGCGCAUGUGCUGUGAGCUCGAUGAGUAGGGCGGGACACGUGGUAUCCUGUCUGAAUAUGGGGGGACCAUCCUCCAAGGCUAAAUACUCCUGACUGACCGAUAGUGAACCAGUACCGUGAGGGAAAGGCGAAAAGAACCCCGGCGAGGGGAGUGAAAAAGAACCUGAAACCGUGUACGUACAAGCAGUGGGAGCACCCUUCGGGGUGUGACUGCGUACCUUUUGUAUAAUGGGUCAGCGACUUAUAUUCUGUAGCAAGGUUAACCGAAUAGGGGAGCCG
rnacentral:rRNA from 1 species